rnacentral:rRNA from 1 species
CCUACGGGAGGCUGCAGUGGGGAAUUUUGGACAAUGGGCGCAAGCCUGAUCCAGCUAUUCCGCGUGUGGGAAGACGGCCUUCGGGUUGUAAACCACUUUUGUAGAGAACGAAAAGUCUAUUGAUAAUACCGAUAGAUGAUGACGGUACUCUAAGAAUAAGCACCGGCUAACUACGUGCCAGCAGCCGCGGUAAUACGUAGGGUGCGAGCGUUAAUCGGAAUUACUGGGCGUAAAGGGUGUGCAGGCGGUUUUGCAAGAUGGAUGUGAAAGCCCCGGGCUUAACCUGGGAAAGCCAUACAUGACUGCAAGACUAGAGUGCGUCAGAGGGGGGUGGAAUUCCAAGUGUAGCAGUGAAAUGCGUAGAUAUUUGGAAGAACACCGAUGGCGAAGGCAGCCCCCUGGGACGCAACUCACGCUCAUACACGAAAGCGUGGGGAGCAAACAGGAUUAGAUACCCGGGUAGUC